UACGGGGGGGGCAAGCGUUGUUCGGAAUUACUGGGCGUAAAGGGCUCGUAGGCGGCCCACUAAGUCGGAUGUGAAAUCCCCAAGCUUAACUUGGGAACUGCAUCCGAUACUGGAUGGCUUGAAUCCGGGGGAGGGAUGCAGAAUUCCAGGUGUAGCGGUGAAAUGCGUAGAUAUCUGGAGGAAUACCGGUGGCGAAGGCGGGUCUCUGGGCCAUAACUGACGCUGAGGAGCGAAAGCGUGGGGAGCGAACAGG
rnacentral:rRNA from 1 species